GGCUGGUGUGAGUGCAGUAGUGUUUACAAGUAAUUGAUCACAACCAGUUACAGAUUGCUUGGUUCCUUCCCCACUCCCACUGCUUCACUUGGCCAGCCUGUA
ensembl:misc_RNA Y_RNA Y RNA